UUAUAGAAAUAAACAUCUUCCUUCAAUAGAUGAAAAUGAAAAUACAGAAGAAAGAGAAGCAGUUGUCAAAUUUAAAAGUUCUCAAUCACUCCCCAAUGUCUGAUGCCUCUGUCAAUUUUGACUACAAAUCCCCGUCACCAUUUGACUGCAGCACUGAUCAGGAAGACAAGAUUGAAGAUGUUGCUAGUCACUGUUUGUCCCAGAAGGACCUGUACACUGCUGAAGAGGAUGCUGCUACCCUUUUUCCUAGGAAAAUGACCUCCCAUAAUGGGAUGGAGGACAGUGGAGGAGGAGGUACUGGAGUGAAGAAGAAACGGAAGAAAAAGGAGCCAGGAGAACAAGAGGGUGCAGCAAAGGGAAGCAAGGACAGGGAGCCCAAGCCAAAGAGGAAACGAGAACCGAAAGAGCCAAAGGAACCCAGGAAGGCUAAGGAGCCUAAGAAGGCCAAGGAGCCCAAGGAGCCGAAACAGAAGGAUGGAGCAAAGAAGGCACGGAAGCCCCGGGAGGCCUCAGGCACCAAGGAGGCCAAAGAAAAGAGAAGCUGUGCUGACUCUGCAGCCAGGACAAAGUCUAGGAAGGCCAGCAAGGAGCAAGGACCAACCCCAGUGGAGAAAAAGAAGAAAGGAAAAAGGAAAAGUGAAACUACAGUGGAGAGUUUAGAGCUGGAUCAGGGCCUGCCGAACCCAUCCCUGCGGAGUCCUGAGGAGUCCACUGAAUCUGCAGACAGCCAGAAACGACGCUCAGGACGGCAAGUAAAGCGCAGAAAAUACAACGAGGACCUGGAUUUCAAAGUGGUGGAUGAUGAUGGGGAAACAAUCGCUGUUCUUGGAGCUGGCAGAACAUCUGCACUCUCAGCUUCUACACUGGCUUGGCAGGCAGAGGAGCCUCCAGAAGAUGAUGCAAACAUCAUUGAGAAGAUCCUGGCAUCUAAGACUGUCCAGGAGGUUCACCCAGGAGAACCUCCAUUCGAGUUGGAGCUAUUCUACGUUAAGUACAGAAAUUUUUCCUACUUACAUUGUAAAUGGGCCACAAUGGAAGAGCUCGAAAAGGAUCCUCGCAUCGCACAGAAGAUCAAGCGAUUUAGGAAUAAACAAGCCCAGAUGAAGCACAUUUUUACCGAGCCUGAUGAAGACUUGUUCAAUCCAGACUAUAUAGAAGUUGAUCGCAUCUUGGAGGUGGCCCAUACCAAAGAUGCAGAAACAGGGGAGGAAGUGACACAUUACCUGGUGAAGUGGUGCUCACUGCCAUACGAAGAAAGCACAUGGGAGCUAGAGGAAGACGUGGAUCCUGCAAAAGUUAAAGAAUUUGAAUCUCUUCAAAUUCUUCCUGAAAUUAAGCAUGUGGAACGGCCUGCUUCAGAUGCCUGGCAGAAACUCGAAAAAUCUCGGGAGUAUAAGAACAGUAACCAGCUCCGGGAGUAUCAGCUGGAGGGGAUGAACUGGCUUCUUUUUAACUGGUAUAACAGAAAAAACUGUAUUUUGGCUGACGAGAUGGGCCUAGGGAAAACUAUCCAGUCCAUCACAUUCCUUUCAGAAAUAUUCCUCAGGGGAAUCCACGGCCCUUUUCUCAUCAUUGCCCCUCUCUCCACCAUCACUAACUGGGAGCGGGAGUUCAGGACUUGGACAGAGAUGAAUGCCAUUGUGUACCACGGCAGCCAGAUCAGCAGGCAGAUGAUUCAGCAGUAUGAAAUGGUGUACAGAGACGCACAGGGAAACCCCCUUUCAGGAGUCUUCAAGUUCCAUGUUGUCAUCACAACAUUUGAGAUGAUCCUGGCAGACUGCCCAGAGCUGAAGAAGAUUCACUGGAGCUGUGUGAUAAUUGAUGAGGCUCACAGAUUGAAGAAUAGGAACUGCAAACUUCUGGAGGGUCUAAAGCUCAUGGCCCUGGAACAUAAAGUGCUUCUCACAGGAACACCGUUGCAGAAUUCUGUGGAGGAGCUCUUCAGUUUGCUAAAUUUUCUGGAGCCAUCACAGUUUCCUUCAGAGACUGCUUUCUUAGAGGAGUUUGGAGAUCUGAAAACAGAGGAACAGGUAAAGAAACUGCAGUCUAUCCUGAAACCAAUGAUGCUUCGGAGGCUAAAAGAUGAUGUGGAAAAGAACCUUGCUCCCAAACAAGAGACGAUCAUUGAGGUAGAACUGACCAAUAUCCAGAAAAAGUACUACCGUGCCAUCCUGGAGAAGAACUUUUCCUUUCUGACCAAAGGAGCAAAUCAGCACAACAUGCCCAAUCUGAUCAAUACCAUGAUGGAGCUGAGAAAGUGCUGUAACCAUCCCUACCUGAUCAAUGGGGCAGAGGAGAAAAUUCUGGAAGAUUUCCGAAAAUACCACAGCCCUGAUGCCCCUGACUUUCAGCUGCAGGCCAUGAUUCAGGCAGCCGGGAAGCUGGUGCUGAUCGAUAAACUGCUCCCUAAGCUGAUUGCAGGUGGCCACAAGGUACUCAUCUUCUCCCAGAUGGUGCGCUGCCUCGAUAUCCUGGAGGAUUAUCUCAUCCAGAGAAGAUACACCUAUGAGCGAAUUGAUGGGCGAGUACGGGGAAACCUGCGCCAGGCAGCCAUCGACCGGUUCUGUAAGCCAGACUCAGACCGCUUUGUCUUUCUUCUGUGCACCAGAGCGGGAGGCCUGGGGAUCAAUCUCACAGCUGCUGAUACCUGCAUCAUAUUUGAUUCUGACUGGAACCCACAAAAUGACUUGCAGGCUCAGGCCCGAUGUCACCGCAUAGGCCAGAGCAAAGCCGUGAAGGUGUAUCGCCUCAUCACUCGGAAUUCCUACGAGCGGGAGAUGUUUGACAAGGCCAGCCUAAAGCUGGGGCUGGACAAGGCUGUUCUCCAGGACAUCAACCGAAAAGGCAGCACCAAUGGGGUACAGCAGCUCUCAAAAAUGGAGGUGGAGGACUUGCUUCGGAAAGGUGCUUAUGGAGCCUUAAUGGAUGAAGAAGAUGAAGGCUCCAAGUUCUGUGAAGAAGACAUAGACCAGAUUCUGCAGAGGAGAACCCACACCAUCACCAUCCAGUCCGAGGGGAAAGGGUCCACUUUUGCCAAGGCUAGCUUUGUGGCUUCAGGAAACAGAACAGAUAUUUCUUUAGAUGAUCCUAACUUUUGGCAGAAAUGGGCUAAAAUAGCUGAACUAGACACUGAAGCAAAGAACGAAAAGGAAAGCUUAGUGAUCGACCGACCUCGUGUGAGAAAGCAGACCAAACACUACAACUCAUUUGAGGAAGACGAGCUCAUGGAAUUUUCAGAGUUAGACAGUGACUCAGAUGAAAGGCCCACGAGAUCCAGGCGCCUCAAUGACAAAGCCAGGCGCUACCUUCGAGCUGAGUGCUUCCGGGUAGAGAAGAACCUGCUCAUCUUUGGCUGGGGCCGGUGGAAGGACAUCCUGACUCAUGGCCGAUUCAAGUGGCAUCUGAACGAGAAGGACAUGGAGAUGAUUUGCCGUGCCCUGCUGGUGUACUGUGUCAAGCAUUAUAAGGGGGACGAGAAGAUCAAGAGUUUCAUCUGGGAAUUGAUUACACCUACCAAAGAUGGACAGGCCCAGACUCUCCAGAACCACUCAGGGUUGUCUGCCCCAGUCCCCAGAGGGAGGAAGGGGAAGAAGACGAAGAACCAGCUGCUACUCCCAGAGCUGAAGAAUGCGGACUGGCUGGCCACUUGCAACCCUGAGGUGGUCCUGCAUGAUGAUGGCUACAAGAAACAUCUCAAACAACACUGCAACAAGGUACUUUUGCGAGUCCGGAUGCUGUACUACCUAAAAGCUGAAAUACUGGGGGAAGCAGCUGAGAAAGCAUUUGAAGGAACUCCUGCCAGGGAGCUGGAUGUGCCUCUGCCUGACAUUGACUACAUGGAAAUUCCAGUGGAUUGGUGGGAUGCUGAGGCUGAUAAGUCCCUUCUCAUUGGCGUCUUCAAGCAUGGUUAUGAGAGGUACAAUGCCAUGCGAGCAGACCCAGCACUUUGCUUCCUGGAAAAAGUCGGGAUGCCAGAUGAGAAGUCCCUUUCUGCAGAACAGGGUGUUGCAGAUGGGACCUCGGACAUUCCUGAAAGAGGCAACACAGAUAAAGAAGACAAUGCUGAGGACAAAUUAGAUGGUCUCCAGAAACAAACGGAGAGCUCCAGUGACGGAGGUGAUGGCAUUUUUGGUGAAAAGAAGGAUGACAGCCGGGCAGCCCAGGAUGGCUCCGACCCAGACAAAUCACCCUGGCCAGUGUCAUCUGCUCUCACAGCUCGUCUCAGACGUCUGGUCACUAUUUACCAGCGCUGCAACCGAAAGGAACUCUGCCGACCUGAAAUUCUGGGACCAGGUAACCAAGGAUACUGGGUUCAGGAAGAGAUGUUCAGGAGAACCUCAGAAAUGGACCUCAUCAACAAAGAAGCUCAAAAGAGGUGGACUAGGAGAGAACAAGCAGACUUCUAUAGAACAGUGUCUUCCUUUGGUGUCGUUUAUGAUCAAGAAAAGAAAACUUUUGACUGGACACAGUUCCGUAUCAUAUCCCGUUUGGACAAGAAGUCAGACGAGAGCCUGGAACACUAUUUUUAUAGUUUUGUGGCUAUGUGCCGGAAUGUUUGUCGUCUACCUGCAUGGAAAGAUGGUGGUCCCCCAGAUGCCACCAUCUACAUUGAACCCAUCACUGAGGAACGGGCUGCAAGAACUCUGUACCGCAUUGAAUUAUUACGGAAGGUCCGAGAGCAAGUGCUCAAGUGUCCUCAGCUGCAUGAACGCCUCCAGCUGUGCAGGCCUAGCCUCUACCUCCCAGUUUGGUGGGAGUGUGGGAAGCAUGAUCGAGAUUUGCUCAUUGGCACCGCCAAACAUGGGCUGAACCGCACUGAUUGUUACAUUAUGAACGACCCUCAGCUGUCCUUCCUGGAUGCCUACAGAAACUAUGCCCAGCAUAAAAGAUCUGACACUCAGGCACCAGGAAGUCUCUGUUGCCUUUACCAAACCAACUCUAAAUUAUAUGAAUCUCUUACAUAUACUCAAAUGAGUAGGACUUCAGAGUCCCUUGAAAAUGAACCUGAGAAUCUAAUGAAAAUAGAAAGCAGAGAUGAUCAUCUCAGUCUGCCUGAUGUGACUUGUGAAAAUUUGAUUUCUAAAGUUCAGGAUGUCAUUUCCAUCAACCAUGAUGAAAGUCUGCUGCCUGAGUCCUUGGAGAAUGUGAUGUAUAGUAAGAAGGUGCUCAGCCAAGAACCAGACUCUUUCCAGGAGAGCCCAAGUACCAGUACAGAAGCCAGAAGAGAUGCUGCUGCCAACUCAGCAAGCCAAGAUGGGAAUUGUCAGUCUGGUGGCCAAGAGGCAGAAGUAGCUUUAGGUCCCUCUUUUUUAAGUAGCUUAGAAGCUAGAGUAGCUCAAGUGAACAUUAAAAAUGGAAAACAUUUGUUGAUGUCCACUUCAGAGGAAGGAGAGUUCUGCUGCAAUGUGGCAGGGCCAAGACCUGAAUGCAUCGGGCAGCUAGAAACCAAGUGUUUAGCUUCCCCUUCCCUGGAUCCAGGAAGCGAAAGUGGAUUUGUAGAUAUGUGCAAUCUUAGUGUCUGUGACACUAAAAGAAACCUGUCAGCAGAUCAGCAAUUAAUUGAUUUAUUAGAAAACAAAAGCUUAGAAAGUAAAUUGAUUUUGAGUGAGAACCAUAGUGAUGAGGAGGAGGAAGAGGAAGAAAAUGAGGAGGAAAACUUAGCUGUGACAACAGGCAUGAGGGAAAGGCCAGAGGUAUUGCAUCUCACCGAGCCCACUACUAACAUCCCAAGGGAAAAGAGCCGAGGGUUCCAUGUAAAUGCAGCCAAGAAAGGAGACCUGGAGGUGGUGAACCAGACUCCUGGGCCUCAGAGGGCUUUCCCUCCCGCAGCCUGUCAGUGUCACUGUAAACACAUGGAAAGGUGGACACAUGGCCUCGAGAAUGAUGAAUUUGAAAUGGAGAAACCCGAGGCUUAUAACCCAGACCUGUACAAAAGCAAAACCAAUAAUAUCACCGUGGAGGGGGAGCCCACCGCUAUUCCAUCGGAACCAUUCCCAGUGAAGCAUGAGCUUUUAAAAGAACCUUGGAAAGAAAGUGCAGAGGAGAGAAAAGGUUUCCCUACAUAUCUUCUUGAAGGAAGUGAGCUCAAAUCAGAAGACAUGGAUUUUGAGAAUAAAGAUGAUUAUGAUAGAGAUGGAAACUGCCAUAUUCCAGAUUAUCCAGGGAAAUACUCUGAAGAGGAGAGCAAGAGCUCGACAUCAGGCAUCGCAGGAGACAUUGGGGAUGACCUACAGGAGGCUCGGGCUCCCACCAUUGCCCAACUCCUGCAGGAGAAAACCCUCUAUUCCUUCUCUGAAUGGCCAAAGGAUCGUGUGAUAAUUAACCGCCUAGAUAAUAUCUGCCACGUAGUGUUAAAGGGGAAGUGGCCCUCCAGCCAGCAGUACGAGCCCUUGGGCACACUGCCUACCCCAGUGUUAACCAGCAGUGCUGCGUCUCGGAACAGCCUGUCAGAGCCAGAAGCAGCAGAGCAUACCUUCAGCAAUGGCACGGCAUUGGCAGCCCAAAUCCAGAAGGAGAGUUUCUUAGCUCCAGUAUUCACAAAGGAUGAACAGAAGCACAGACGUCCCUAUGAGUUUGAGGUGGAGAGGGAUGCAAAGGCUCGCAGCCUGGAGCAGUUCUCUGCUGCCCAUGGGCACCCCCCCAUCGUCCUCAAUGGCUGGCAUGGGGAGUCAGCUAUAGACCUCUCCUGCUCGUCAGAGGGGUCCCCAGGAGCCACAUCCCCUUUCCCAGUGAGCACCAGCACCCCUAAGAUUGGGGCUAUUGGUUCACUUCAAGGAGCCCUUGGCAUGGAUUUGUCUGGAAUUCUACAAGCUGGCCUGAUCCAUCCAGUGACUGGACAGAUUGUCAAUGGAAGCCUUAGAAGAGAUGAUGCAGCCACAAGGAGGCGGAGGGGAAGGCGGAAACAUGUUGAAGGAGGGAUGGAUCUCAUCUUCUUGAAGGAGCAAACACUUCAGGCAGGAAUCUUGGAAGUUCAUGAAGACCCAGGGCAGGCCACCUUGAGCACCACACACCCAGAAGGGCCAGGGCCUGCUACCUCGGUCCCUGAGCCAGCCGCAGCAGCCGGCAGCCAAGCCGAGAAAGCCAUUCCCAGCAAGAGUCUGCUUGACUGGCUGAGGCAGCAGGCUGACUACUCCUUAGAAGUUCCCAGCUUUGGGGCAAAUUUUUCAGACAAACCAAAGCAGAGGAGGCCGCGCUGUAAAGAAUCUGGAAAAUUAGAUAUCAGCUCUCUGAGUGGGGAAGAAGGGGUUCCUGCCGUCCCCAAGGAGCCAGAACUGAGGGGGUUUCUCCCAGAAAAUAAGUUCAAUCAUACCCUGGCCGAGCCUGUCCUUCGAGAUGCAGGCCCCCGAAGAAGGGGGAGGCGGCCUCGGGGUGAACUCCUGAAAGCUCCUGCCAUCGUGGCAGACUCUCCCUCCGGAAUGGGGCCACUGUUCAUGAAUGGACUGAUUGCUGGGAUGGACCUGGUAGGACUUCAGAGCAUGAGAAAUAUGCCAGGCAUCCCCCUGACCGGACUGGUCGGGUUCCCGGCUGGCUUUGCCACGAUGCCAACAGGCGAAGAGGUCAAAAGCACCCUGAGCAUGCUGCCCAUGAUGCUGCCAGGCAUGGCCACUGUGCCCCAGAUGUUCGGUGUUGGGGGCCUCCUCAAUGCACCCAUGGCAACCACCUGCACUUCCACUGCUCCUGCGUCUCUAUCAAGCACAAAUAAAAGUGGUACAGCAGCCACAGAAAAGACUUCAGAAGAUAAGCCGAGUAGCCAUGAUGUGAAAACAGACACUUUAGCUGAAGACAAGCCUGGACCAGGUCCAUUUUCUGAUCAGUCCGAACCUGCAAUAACUGCUAGUAGUCCUGUGGCUUUUAACCCGUUUCUCAUCCCAGGAGUGUCUCCUGGACUCAUUUACCCAUCCAUGUUUCUCUCCCCUGGCAUGGGCAUGGCUCUUCCGGCCAUGCAGCAGUCCAGACACUCUGAAAUCGUAGGUCUGGAGAGCCAGAAGCGGAAGAAGAAGAAAACAAAAGGGGACAACCAGAACCCCAACCCAGAGCCUGCCCCCAGUUGUGAAAAGGAGCCAAGCAGUGAUCAGAACUGCACCGAAUCCAGUGCCCUGGUGCCCCCAGAGAGAGAACUUGUGGCACAGGCUGGGGAAGGGACACUCAAAGACUCCAACGACACCAAUUAGAAUUUUUUUCAUUAAGAAAUUAUUGUGACUUGUAAGUUUCUUAUCCCAUAAAGGUUUGUUACUCCCUCACUUCACCUUCAUGAGAACCUGUGUUUCCAUAAAUAAGAUUACCUACCUAAUUUCCUGUCCGAGAACUAUGGUAACAGAUGUUAAUAGUUGCAGGGUCUUACCACUUCAUUAGAUAAGUGUCGUCUACCUAGUCUAGGAGGCACAGAAUUCUCAUUCUGUUAUCCAGUUGUUCAUUCCAGCAAUCGUAGUUAAUACAGUACUUGGUGACACGCCCUACCCCCUUCUCUUCCUAGUUUCCCACUUAUUUGAGGAGGAAAAUGGCAAAAGAAAGCCGUCUAGCAAUUUACCAUUGAAGGGUCGAAGAACAGAGACAAAGAGGAGCUCUUUUUUUCUAUGAGCUGGAUUGAAUAGGAAGAAUGUGACAGGGGAACCAAAAAGCACAGAAAAGGAAGUGCUGCAUCUUAGGCACUGGGUGGACAGAUGCUGGCAUCUGACCUGCCCAACGAAAGCCGGCAGAGGCAGCCAAGGCUGUCGCAUCGGUCGUGAGCAGAGCUGCAGCUAGACCCCAAGGUCCCAUCAACGGGAGGACAGAGCACCCUGAUUCUGGCUUUUGUCUCAGAGACCAAAACCGAGUGAAGAAAUUACACUUGGAAAAAUUGGCUCUGGAAAAAACGGAACACUCAAGUAAGUGUCACACCCUCUGGAAAAACUUGAGGCUUGGUUCAUUUACACCAAAUUCUUUAAAAUAGUUUCUUGCAAAUAUUGUUCAUGUGCCUAGUCUGGGAAGCCGCAGAAAAUUUUUUUCUCAGUUCAGAAAUGGGGUUCACCCAGCCCAGGGAUUAGGAUCUUGGCUGCCUAGUGGUCAGCAUUGUGGCCUCAUAUUACAAACUCAGCAAAGUAUCUAUGGGGUAAGAUAGGAAGUAGGGAAGGGGGUGAACUAAGUGCCGGCUCCUACUGGGAGGUCAGCGUGGACAAGGAGAAUUGAGCAUGGCUGUGAUAAAUUGGUGCCACCAGACAGCCCCGAUGUCUGAAUUCUGGCUCUGCCCAACCACUGAAGGACAAAGGAAGGAACUAGAAUAAGGAGGAGGGAGGGAGACAUCACCCACUUGGGACACCCUUCUCCAAGUCUGUUUCCUCAUCUGUAAAAUGGGGAUAAUUGUAAUUUGUACCUCUAGGCUGUUGAUAAGUACUUACCACCAUGCUGAUUCUCUGUGAGUCAUGUGUCUGCUCCUGGACAGCCAGUGAGGAUGCCCAGUCCUCCUGGAAGGAGGGAAAUCAAGGAAGAGGAAGGGCCAGAAAGAGAUUGUUCCAAGUCCCAAGGCAAGUACAGUAGAUCUGGGAUUGGGUCAAAGCACCACAGAGAGCCAGCUUUCUGGCAGGCACAGAGGAGGGAGAGUUGCCCACUACAGAAGCCUGCUGUGUCGGCGCAGGGAGGGGCGCAGAUGCUGUCGUGGAGCCGGGGAGUGGGAAGGCUCCUGGACCUCUGGGUCCCACUCUGUGCAGAAGUGCUAGAUUUAGGAGGAAAAGGUACCCAGCUAAACCUGGGUUUCAGAUACAAUUUUUAGAAUAAGUUUUUCCCAUGCAAUAUUUGGUACAUAAACUAAAAAAUAUUUUAUCCAGAAUUUGAGUGUAACCAGAUGUGUCUUGUAUUUUAUCUGGUAACCUGGCACUUCUGUGAGUGGGAUUUAAGUAUUUUAUGGCCAUGUUCUCAAUCCCCACAAUACCUCUAUUGGGUUGCAUCACAUACAUGAGGAAACUGACCAGUCACCCAGUUGGUAAAUGGCAGAGCUGGGCUUUGGGGACCCAGAAUGGUGAUUCCAGAGCCCUUCGCUGCUCAGUAGGGAGCCAGGAGGGGCAUCUUUAGUCUGAGGCUAGGAACAGGCUGUCCCUCUGUAAUGCAGCUUGUAAAGCAGCAUCAAACACAAACCAGGGGCAGGGCAGGAGGGCUGCUCAGCCUGUGCUAGCCCUGAGGCCAGAGGGACACAGUUCACACAGGGAGAAAAGCUUUUCCUUCCCAUCCCUGCUGAGCUGCUGUUGGGAAGCCUCAGAGCUGUGGCUUAGCCUGGGGACAUCCUUAGUGUCUGGGUGCUCAGACUCAGCAGCCUUGGGCCAAGAGGCCAUGUAAGAAGCGGCAUCCAGUCUGAAAGUAAAAUGAGGAUUGUCGGGCCCAGGGGGAGGGGCAGGCUGACCAGGAGUGGGAGGAGGCACAUCUCACCCAGACCCCUGCAGGCCAUGACCUUCCACUCCACACCCAGGGCAGUUCAGACACAUGCACCACUAAACGUGGCAACAGCACUGCUUAGUUGAUGCCUCCUCAUAGAUUCAAUGCAAAACAUAAGUCAUUGAAAAUAUUUUUCUAUGAACUCAAACAUGGUUUUGUAUAAAUAUGCCUCAUACUGUAGAAUAUAAGCUUCAUGUCUACUUUUAAGAUAAAACAAGAUUUCAAAGAAGCACAGGACUUUGGGCUUGACUCUUGAGGGUCCCCCUCCAAACCCCCAGGGCAUACUUUCACUCAGAGGAAAAGUCAGAGCUGCCCUACCCUGCCUUGCCCUGCCCUCUCCUCUUCACACUGAGACUUGUUUGUGAGCAAAAGAGGAGAACCAGAGGAGGAGAAAUUUGCAGAUGUUGGCAGAGAGAGGAAGGAGGCAUUUUCUAAAGAGAAAACCCAAAAAAGGUUAGGAUGAGGAGAGUUGGGAGAAGGAACCCAGGAGGCCAAACAGCCCUUGACUUGGGAAGGGGCCAGCAAGAGAGUCCUUGGUAGGUGGCCUGUGGGCUGGCCUGCCUGCAGAGGGGUCUGUAGGGAGGCAUUCCAGGAGAACAGCCUGGCAGACGAGCUUGACGUUGGUCACAUUCCCUGCUGGAUUUCAGGCAACAGGAAGGCCAGACUCGGGGGAGCUAAGUCCAAGGAAGCAGCGGCUCCAAGCCCAUGGGGUCAGGUGCCCUGGCCCCAGCUGACUGGAAACCACAUCCUAGGAGUCAGAGCUCAGAGGAGGGCAGGAAGGAGCUUCAGUGAGCCCCAACCCACAGCCAACUCCACCCUCAUUUGAAAGAGAGCUGGUGAGCUGGCCUCCCAAAGGUGCUAGGCCUUUGGAAACUGCUUGGAGACUUCCAGACUCUCUUGCUGUGGGCUAAACUAGGCUGCUCUAGGGGACAGAUCAGACAGCACACCGCUGUUGGGGACCUGAAAGUCUAGUUGAGGGACAGGACUGACUCAGGGGACUAUGAAAUCCAGUAGUCAUUGCCCAUUCCUGACUCAACACCAGGUAGAGGGACUUGGACACAGAAUGGAGUGUUGCUCUGUGUUCAGGUCUCCCUCUGGCCUGUGUGAAUCACAGUACAGUGGAGGUGGCUGUGUCACUGGUCGUGGGUGACGGCACACCCACAGUGGUCGUGGGUGACGGCAGAGGUGUGGGAGAUGAGAGGGACAAAGUACCACAAUUUCAAAAAAGGAAGAUGGGGGGAUUUGGCUAACUGGUAAAUUUGACAUCAAAUUACCAGGAGUCAGCCUGGUAAAUUUGACAUCAUCCCUAGUGAGAAAAAUUGCAGAAAGACUUUUAGAGAAUUCAAAUUACUCAGCUUGGGCUGCCAUAACAAAAUACCGUUAUUUCCUACCAUUCUAGAGGCCAGAAGUCCAAGAUCAAGGCUCUGAAAGCACCUAUGGGCUCCCUGAGGAUCCUCAGGACUUCCAAAAAAUCCCAGACUUUCCAGGCCAGCAAAGAGCUGGAGGGGCCAAGGCCUGGAGCUGGCCAGUCUGUGCUCCUACCUUCAGGGACAAGAUAUGACAAUGGGAAGUGGGGAAAGAAGAUUCUCUGUCUGGCUUUUGAGUUUCAAAAGCAGUCCCUGGCCUGGACACGUGAUAGGCCAGUGAAGGGACUGCCACCUGCUGGAGCAUCCACUCAGGAUCAGUUCUUACCCAUUGGACAGCCCUUUGACACCCCAGGACACCCGGAGGACCCCGUGCUGGCACAGGACUGCAGUGGGGAGAGCCCUUCCUAUGCUUUCGUGGGGCUGGGAGAAACCAGCCUGAGACCCCACAUCAGGCAAAUGCUAGGUGAAACCCACCCUCUGCUCAGACACUGCCUUUCUGAUUUGGAGUCAGGAGGCCUUGAACUCCCCACCGGCCAAGAGUGAGGGGCAGCCAGGCUCAGAGCCUGCUACCGUGACACUUUUGACCUUUGUUUUGCUGGAAAGAAGCCUUCCAUUGUAAUGUCAUGAACUCUAUCACCCUGUUCCUAGGAUGUCUUCUCAGGAGGUUGUUCCCUAUCCUACAAUUGU